rnacentral:sRNA from 1 species
AUACUAUAUACACUAACCUUAUCCUGGCAAGUCACCAAUUUGCCAGUACAAGUUUCGUCAAAUGAAAUCGAUAAGCAAUCCAAGAUAUCACGUAAAACUUACUCUGGAGCUCCACUCUCCAGUCGUACCAACUUUCCGAAAUUCAACGCCUUCACCAAAAUAGCCAGCGGCAUGCCAAGACUCCAUCAUAGCACCAUCAUAAGGACCAUGAGCCUCUCCGCCAUCGCGCAAAUCGGACCAGCGAUAUUCCCACAGCGGAGACGCAUCUGUCUCUAUUUUCGAUGAAGCAUCUUCCGCUCGCGCGGAGUCCACCCAGUCUUCCCCUGUUUCUCGCUUGUAUUGCCUCAUCAAUAGCUCUCGCUCGGUGUCAUAUAUCUCGGACUGGCCACGGCUGAGCAGGAUAUCCGCAGCCUCAGUGACAUCCUCAAUAACACGCUUGCGGGCUAUUUCAGCUGGAUCAUCUUCGCCCAUUGCUUCAUCUUCCGUGCCGUUCUUGCUACCCCUCUGUCGGUUUCUAUGUCUGUUCUGCCACUUAGGCUUCUGUCUGACGCAUUUUCCCAGCCUUGCGAGUGACUCUAAGAUUGUCUCACCCCGCUCCAAAUUUCUGAUUAACGUGUGCAAGAUAUCCGCUGUGAGGAUACUAUCCUGUUCAAGUUGUAUCUUUCGCCGUUCCUCUUCCCUCUUCUCUGCCGCCUCCCUAGCCUUCCGCAUGUCUUUUCUCGACACACCUUCCAGCCAAGCAUCGUGAAUAGCAUCUGGAUCUGUAGCUUUGCGAACAAAGUUUCCGGCCUCGUCAAAACGCCCCUCCUCCUGCUCCGCUCGCAUAUUGAAAGCAUCUAAUAGUGGCACGUGUGUUUUUUUCCCGCCAGCCCCCAGCUCUUCGUCCACGUCUGACCCGAUCCUGGCGCGUUCUUGUUCGUCGACUUCGCUUUCACUCUCUCCUUCCUCACCUAGUGCCACUUGAAUCAUUUUGCCGUGACUAUCCAGAUCAAGAGUAACAGUUCCGCCGGCGCGAGAAUCAUGUACCUGUCCCUCAAUCUCAUCAUCCUGUAGGAAACGGACUUGCUUCUUGUUGCUUGGGGUUGUAACGCCGUCUGAUCUACUAGUAGCAAAGUCCUCUUCUAACUCUGCGAACAUAUCAUCUGUAUCUCCAGAGGCAUUUUUCAUAUUAGCUCUAGAUUUAGCCUCUAUGCGGGCAUCAAACCCCCCAUUGUCACUGUCAGAAUCAUAGCCCUCAAUGUUGACUGCGUUACGCCGCACUCGGCGUCCUCGAUGACCAAUUUCGUCGGCAUCCAGGACCGCGUCCUCCUCUAAGGCGUCUGGGGCUAAUGCGGACGGAUUUCGAGGGUCAAACCGAACUCUUUUCGAAGAUGUCGGCCCGUUCUCAUCAGAAUCAGUGUUAUGGUUUGUGGGGGUAAAGUCUUCCCCAGCCCGCUUUGGUCG